GGCUGGUUCGAGUGCAGUGGUAUUUACAACUGAUUGAUUAUAACCAGGUACAGAUUUUGUUCCCUCUCCACUCCCACUGCUUUAUUUAAACUUAAA
rnacentral:Y_RNA from 10 species